AGAGUUUGAUCCUGGCUCAGAGCGAACGCUGGCGGCAGGCUUAACACAUGCAAGUCGAGCGGGCGUAGCAAUACGUCAGCGGCAGACGGGUGAGUAACGCGUGGGAACGUACCUUUUGGUUCGGAACAACACAGGGAAACUUGUGCUAAUACCGGAUAAGCCCUUACGGGGAAAGAUUUAUCGCCGAAAGAUCGGCCCGCGUCUGAUUAGCUAGUUGGUGAGGUAAUGGCUCACCAAGGCGACGAUCAGUAGCUGGUCUGAGAGGAUGAUCAGCCACAUUGGGACUGAGACACGGCCCAAACUCCUACGGGAGGCAGCAGUGGGGAAUAUUGGACAAUGGGCGCAAGCCUGAUCCAGCCAUGCCGCGUGAGUGAUGAAGGCCCUAGGGUUGUAAAGCUCUUUUGUGCGGGAAGAUAAUGACGGUACCGCAAGAAUAAGCCCCGGCUAACUUCGUGCCAGCAGCCGCGGUAAUACGAAGGGGGCUAGCGUUGCUCGGAAUCACUGGGCGUAAAGGGUGCGUAGGCGGGUCUUUAAGUCAGGGGUGAAAUCCUGGAGCUCAACUCCAGAACUGCCUUUGAUACUGAAGAUCUUGAGUUC
rnacentral:rRNA from 1 species